rnacentral:rRNA from 1 species
ACCGGCGCACGGGUGAGUAACGCUAUGUAAUCUACCUGUAACAGAGGGAUAACCCGGAGAAAUCCGGACUAAUACCUCAUAGCACAUAUUAUUCGCAUGAAUUUUAUGUUAAAGAGACUCGGUUACAGAUGAACAUGCGUUCCAUUAGCUAGUUGGCGGGGUUACGGCCCACCAAGGCAACGAUGGAUAGGGGUUCUGAGAGGAAGGUCCCCCACACUGGUACUGAGACACGGACCAG